AUGGUUAAGUGGGAAACGAUGUGGGAAGGCCCAGACAGCCAGGAUGUUGGCUUAGAAGCAGCCAUCAUUUAAAGAAAGCGUAAUAGCUCACUGGUCGAGUCGGCCUGCGCGGAAGAUGUAACGGGGCUAAACCAUGCACCGAAGCUGCGGCAGCGACACUAUGUGUUGUUGGGUAGGGGAGCGUUCUGUAAGCCUGUGAAGGUGUACUGUGAGGUAUGCUGGAGGUAUCAGAAGUGCGAAUGCUGACAUAAGUAACGAUAAAGCGGGUGAAAAGCCCGCUCGCCGGAAGACCAAGGGUUCCUGUCCAACGUUAAUCGGGGCAGGGUGAGUCGACCCCUAAGGCGAGGCCGAAAGGCGUAGUCGAUGGGAAACAGGUUAAUAUUCCUGUACUUGGUGUUACUGCGAAGGGGGGACGGAGAAGGCUAUGUUGGCCGGGCGACGGUUGUCCCGGUUUAAGCGUGUAGGCUGGUUUUCCAGGCAAAUCCGGAAAAUCAAGGCUGAGGCGUGAUGACGAGGCACUACGGUGCUGAAGCAACAAAUGCCCUGCUUCCAGGAAAAGCCUCUAAGCAUCAGGUAACAUCAAAUCGUACCCCAAACCGACACAGGUGGUCAGGUAGAGAAUACCAAGGCGCUUGAGAGAACUCGGGUGAAGGAACUAGGCAAAAUGGUGCCGUAACUUCGGGAGAAGGCACGCUGAUAUGUAGGUGAAGCGACUUGCUCGUGGAGCUGAAAUCAGUCGAAGAUACCAGCUGGCUGCAACUGUUUAUUAAAAACACAGCACUGUGCAAACACGAAAGUGGACGUAUACGGUGUGACGCCUGCCCGGUGCCGGAAGGUUAAUUGAUGGGGUUAGCGGUAACGCGAAGCUCUUGAUCGAAGCCCCGGUAAACGGCGGCCGUAACUAUAACGGUCCUAAGGUAGCGAAAUUCCUUGUCGGGUAAGUUCCGACCUGCACGAAUGGCGUAAUGAUGGCCAGGCUGUCUCCACCCGAGACUCAGUGAAAUUGAACUCGCUGUGAAGAUGCAGUGUACCCGCGGCAAGACGGAAAGACCCCGUGAACCUUUACUAUAGCUUGACACUGAACAUUGAGCCUUGAUGUGUAGGAUAGGUGGGAGGCUUUGAAGUGUGGACGCCAGUCUGCAUGGAGCCGACCUUGAAAUACCACCCUUUAAUGUUUGAUGUUCUAACGUUGGCCCCUAAUCGGGGUUGCGGACAGUGUCUGGUGGGUAGUUUGACUGGGGCGGUCUCCUCCUAAAGAGUAACGGAGGAGCACGAAGGUUGGCUAAUCCUGGUCGGACAUCAGGAGGUUAGUGCAAUGGCAUAAGCCAGCUUGACUGCGAGCGUGACGGCGCGAGCAGGUGCGAAAGCAGGUCAUAGUGAUCCGGUGGUUCUGAAUGGAAGGGCCAUCGCUCAACGGAUAAAAGGUACUCCGGGGAUAACAGGCUGAUACCGCCCAAGAGUUCAUAUCGACGGCGGUGUUUGGCACCUCGAUGUCGGCUCAUCACAUCCUGGGGCUGAAGUAGGUCCCAAGGGUAUGGCUGUUCGCCAUUUAAAGUGGUACGCGAGCUGGGUUUAGAACGUCGUGAGACAGUUCGGUCCCUAUCUGCCGUGGGCGCUGGAGAACUGAGGGGGGCUGCUCCUAGUACGAGAGGACCGGAGUGGACGCAUCACUGGUGUUCGGGUUGUCAUGCCAAUGGCACUGCCCGGUAGCUAAAUGCGGAAGAGAUAAGUGCUGAAAGCAUCUAAGCACGAAACUUGCCCCGAGAUGAGUUCUCCCUGACUCCUUGAGAGUCCUGAAGGAACGUUGAAGACGACGACGUUGAUAGGCCGGGUGUGUAAGCGCAGCGAUGCGUUGAGCUAACCGGUACUAAUGAGCCGUGAGGCUUAACCUU
rnacentral:rRNA from 1 species